GGAUACGUGCCCGAAAAUUCAAGGACCACUUUGAUAGAGUGAUUUAUAAGAGUUAAAACCUCUUCGUAUCUU
rnacentral:tRNA from 1 species